rnacentral:lncRNA from 1 species
AGGUCCCUGGUCGAGCAUUGCUCUCGGGGCGCCGGCUUAUUUGGAUACUUAAGUGACCAGACUGGAGGUAAGAUCCCUGGUCGAGCAUUGCUCUCGGGGCGCCAGUCUUAUUGGAUUAAGAGAGCCGAAUGGCUACUAGAUUUCUUAUUUGGAUACUUAAGUGACCAGACUGGAGGUAAGGUCCCUGGUCGAGCAUUGCUCUCGGG